AUGUCAUGAUGUGGACAUUUCCUUAGUAAUUCCUUGUACCUCUUCCAAGCAUCAGGAACUGCUUCAUCGUCCAGUUAUCAGAAAAGACAAAUUUCAUUUCUGAACUU